rnacentral:rRNA from 1 species
GCGAAAGCGAGUCUUAAUAGGGCGUCGAGUUCGUGGGAUCAGACCCGAAACCGAGUGAUCUAGGCAUGACCAGGAUGAAGGUGCGGUAACACGCACUGGAGGACCGAACCCACGUCUGUUGAAAAAGACGGGGAUGACCUGUGGCUAGGGGUGAAAGGCCAAUCAAACUCGGAAAUAGCUGGUUCUCCGCGAAAUCUAUUUAGGUAGAGCGUCGACCGAAUACCCUCGGGGGUAGAGCACUGGAUGGGCUAGGGGGUCUCACCGACUUACCAAACCUAACCAAACUCCGAAUACCGGCGAGUACAGCACGGCAGACAGUCCAUGGGUGCUAAGGUCCGUGGACGAGAGGGAAACAGCCCAGACCUCCAGCUAAGGCCCCCAAGUGGCGGCUAAGUGGGAAAGGAUGUGGGAAGGCCAAGACAACCAGGAGGUUGGCUUAGAAGCAGCCAUCCUUUAAAGAAAGCGUAAUAGCUCACUAGUCGAGU